AGAAAUGAUUUUUCUUCUUACAAAUGUUUAUUGUGAAUAAACCUCUGGGCAGAUACUUGCAUUAUGUCCACAACGAUGAGAUGAAUCCACCAGUUUUUACAGCCCAAGCAGUUCUGUAUGUGGUCCAGAAUGAGAUUGGAUAUUGGACAGCAUGGACCUUUGUAACAGAAAAUUGGUCAGAUCUGACCCUUAGGUCCUCAAUGAAUACUCUCAUGACCACUAUCACUACUGACAUUCACAUGCAAAUGAUACAAGCCUUUCUUAAUAAUACCCUUGAACCUGAAGAACAGAUAAUUGCUACAAACAGAAUGCUGACAGAAAAAUCUCAAAAUGAAAAAAGAAAAAAAUCAAUGACUGAAAUGAUCAUGUGGUUCAAAGAAAAUAUGGACAAUUGACCGCUGGGACAUUUCUUUUUUAAGGUAUCUUCAGAGCAAUUAAAAUUUCCCAGGUUAGAAAGAUGUUAUUUUGGGUAUCCAUAGGAUUGUUUUUCUGCGCAAUGAAUAAAAUACCAUUCAGGGCAAAGCAAACCACUGGUAUUAAAUAAAUUGUUUUCUCCCAGGACAAUGUCUACAAAAAUAUUUGCAUAUUUUGUGAAAUUCUUCCUCUGUAAGAAUGCAUUUCCAGAUGCCAUGCAAAGGAACUUCAAGGAAUAUUAUAUACUAAGGAAAUUAGUAUAAAUUAGUAUACAGACAACAAAUGGUCAAAAUUGGGAGCGUCUUAUCAAAUUCUGUACCUGUCAACAGUAGUGUCCCCCAGGGCAGCGUUCUAGGACUAACUCUCUUCAUACUCUACAUAAAUGACCUCUAUGAUCAUAUUAAGAGCAACUGCGUUCUCUUCGCUGAUGAUGUAAAGCUAUUCAACAUCACAGACAAUACUGCUACCCUUCAAAAAAACCUCAACUAUGUAUCAGAAUGGUCAAACAAAUGGCAACUUCAAAUCUCAACAAAUAAAUGCUCUGUCUUACAUAUUGGCAAAAAAAAAUCAGAAAAUAAAAUACAAACUGAAUAGUCAAGACCUUGUUGAUGAUCCAAACUCUGUCAAGGACCUUGGAAUACUCAUCUCUAAUGAUCUAAGUGCUAGAGCCCACUGUAACUACAUAGCCAAAAAGGCAUUAAGAGUUG
rnacentral:lncRNA from 1 species